GAGGCUAUGGUGUAGCCCGGUAGCACAACAGGUUGUGGCCCUGUUAGCAGCGGUUCAAAUCCGCUUAGCCUCC
rnacentral:tRNA from 1 species